rnacentral:pre_miRNA from 1 species
AUCAACAAGCGGGGUGCAGCUGCACUGUAGAUGGAGGGGCUGCAUGAAGGUGGAUAGUUUCUGUGCCCCGUGUAUGCAGUGCAGGUGCUCACUGCACUUGGU